GACGAACCGUGCGAACGUUAUUCGGAAUCAUUGGGCGUAAAGCGCGCGUAGGCGGCCCUGUAAGUCCGCUGUAAAAGUCAAAGGCUCAACCUUUGAAAGCCGGUGGAUACUGCAGGGCUAGAGUCCGGAAGAGGCGAGUGGAAUUCCUGGUGUAGCGGUGGAAUGCGCAGAUAUCAGGAGGAACACCAAUAGCGAAGGCAGCUCGCUGGGACGGUACUGACGCUAAGGCGCGAAAGCGUGGGGAGCGAACAGG
rnacentral:rRNA from 1 species